GCUGGAGGUAUCAGAAGUGCGAAUGCUGACAUAAGUAACGAUAAAGCGGGUGAAAAGCCCGCUCGCCGGAAGACCAAGGGUUCCUGUCCAACGUUAAUCGGGGCAGGGUGAGUCGACCCCUAAGGCGAGGCCGAAAGGCGUAGUCGAUGGGAAACAGGUUAAUAUUCCUGUACUUGGUGUUACUGCGAAGGGGGGACGGAGAAGGCUAUGUUGGCCGGGCGACGGUUGUCCCGGUUUAAGCGUGUAGGCUGGUUUUCCAGGCAAAUCCGGAAAAUCAAGGCUGAGGCGUGAUGACGAGGCACUACGGUGCUGAAGCAACAAAUGCCCUGCUUCCAGGAAAAGCCUCUAAGCAUCAGGUAACAUCAAAUCGUACCCCAAACCGACACAGGUGGUCAGGUAGAGAAUACCAAGGCGCUUGAGAGAACUCGGGUGAAGGAACUAGGCAAAAUGGUGCCGUAACUUCGGGAGAAGGCACGCUGAUAUGUAGGUGAAGUCCCUCGCGGAUGGAGCUGAAAUCAGUCGAAGAUACCAGCUGGCUGCAACUGUUUAUUAAAAACACAGCACUGUGCAAACACGAAAGUGGACGUAUACGGUGUGACGCCUGCCCGGUGCCGGAAGGUUAAUUGAUGGGGUCAGCGCAAGCGAAGCUCUUGAUCGAAGCCCCGGUAAACGGCGGCCGUAACUAUAACGGUCCUAAGGUAGCGAAAUUCCUUGUCGGGUAAGUUCCGACCUGCACGAAUGGCGUAAUGAUGGCCAGGCUGUCUCCACCCGAGACUCAGUGAAAUUGAACUCGCUGUGAAGAUGCAGUGUACCCGCGGCAAGACGGAAAGACCCCGUGAACCUUUACUAUAGCUUGACACUGAACAUUGAGCCUUGAUGUGUAGGAUAGGUGGGAGGCUUUGAAGUGUGGACGCCAGUCUGCAUGGAGCCGACCUUGAAAUACCACCCUUUAAUGUUUGAUGUUCUAACGUUGACCCGUAAUCCGGGUUGCGGACAGUGUCUGGUGGGUAGUUUGACUGGGGCGGUCUCCUCCUAAAGAGUAACGGAGGAGCACGAAGGUUGGCUAAUCCUGGUCGGACAUCAGGAGGUUAGUGCAAUGGCAUAAGCCAGCUUGACUGCGAGCGUGACGGCGCGAGCAGGUGCGAAAGCAGGUCAUAGUGAUCCGGUGGUUCUGAAUGGAAGGGCCAUCGCUCAACGGAUAAAAGGUACUCCGGGGAUAACAGGCUGAUACCGCCCAAGAGUUCAUAUCGACGGCGGUGUUUGGCACCUCGAUGUCGGCUCAUCACAUCCUGGGGCUGAAGUAGGUCCCAAGGGUAUGGCUGUUCGCCAUUUAAAGUGGUACGCGAGCUGGGUUUAGAACGUCGUGAGACAGUUCGGUCCCUAUCUGCCGUGGGCGCUGGAGAACUGAGGGGGGCUGCUCCUAGUACGAGAGGACCGGAGUGGACGCAUCACUGGUGUUCGGGUUGUCAUGCCAAUGGCACUGCCCGGUAGCUAAAUGCGGAAGAGAUAAGUGCUGAAAGCAUCUAAGCACGAAACUUGCCCCGAGAUGAGUUCUCCCUGACUCCUUGAGAGUCCUGAAGGAACGUUGAAGACGACGACGUUGAUAGGCCGGGUGUGUAAGCGCAGCGAUGCGUUGAGCUAACCGGUACUAAUGAACCGUGAGGCUUAACCUU
rnacentral:rRNA from 1 species